GAGGAGAUCGUCUCUGGCUUCUUCCUGCAAGGCAAGUCUCCAAGGUUAUUUGUUUCCUCCUUCCUGAUUGUUCGGAGGAGUACAUGAGAAUUUGCAUGAGGAUGUGCUUUGAAGAGACUGGGGUGCUCUGCAUGCUUCAUUAGAACUCACAUCAUAACUGAAGUGGACUUGUUUGAACGGCAUAACUCAGCAGAGCAGUUUCAAUGAAGGAUGCAGAUGACAAGGUGGAGGGAGGACCCAGGAUAAUGGCUGCUGCUCAUGAUUUGGAGAUGGAGGAGGAUGUGAAUCUGAAUAUGGAUAGAGAGAUGAAAGAAGAGCUGGAGGAGGAGAAAAUGAGAGAAGACAGGGAAGGUAAAGAUCCCUUCAAGCCUAAAAAGGUCCACAGGAUUGUCUCAAGAUGGAUGCUUCCUGAACCGGUGCGAAGAACAUACCUGGAAAGAGCUAACUGCCUCCCACCCCCUGUGUUCAUCAUCUCCAUCAGCAUCGCUGAGCUGGCAGUGUUUAUUUACUAUGCUGUGUGGAAGCCGCAGAAACAGUGGAUCACCUUGGACACAGGCAUCUUGGAGAGUCCCUUUAUCUACAGUCCUGAGAAGAGGGAGGAAGCCUGGAGGUUUAUCUCAUACAUGCUGGUUCAUGCUGGAGUUCAGCACAUCCUGGGGAAUCUUGUUAUGCAGCUCACUUUGGGUAUUCCCUUGGAAAUGGUCCACAAAGGCCUCCGAGUGGGGCUGGUAUACCUGGCAGGAGUGAUUGCAGGGUCCCUUGCCAGCUCCAUAUUUGACCCACUCAGAUUCCUUGUGGGUGCUUCAGGAGGAGUGUACGCUCUGAUGGGAGGCUAUUUUAUGAAUGUUCUAGUGAUGGGACACGCUGAUAUCAACUUUCCCCACAUACCAUUUCUAGAAGUUCUUUGGCCUGGUUUACCUACUGUUGAAAAUGCGAGAAGUUACAACAAAUUCCAGAUUAAUGAAAUACAAGUACAUUUUAAUUUUAAACACGUUUCCUUGGGAAAAUGUAUAGUUUUUUUUUUUUUAAUGGUAAAUAUUAUUCCUAAUUGUGAAGGACAACUGGCCCUAAGGACCUUCUUUCAUUAAGCAUUAUUUUUUGGAUCUGUUUUAUGAGCAACUGAGCUUCCCUGGAAAAAGUUCAGGAAAUCUUACAUUUUCAUCCUUCAAAAAAGUCCAUAUAAAGGCAACUCCCUUAGAAUAAGUGUCAAAUUUUAUUGAAGACAAUGAUUUGGUUUAUUGGAAUAAGCACUUCUUUUCAGGUGGGAAGAGAGGUCUCAGUUUAGAGACUACAGCAACUCAGAAGUAAACUCCUCCGGGAAGCAGGAAGGGCCAGGCAGGUAUAAGUCAGAAGGGGCCAAAGCAAGAGAGGAAUUGGAGAGAUUGACAUGCUAAGCAGUUACAAAGAGUUUUUGAAAGGAGGCCUCCUACUAUGGAAGACUAGACCAAACUAACUGUUUUCAGUAAAUCAGCCUUGUUUUCCAGCAGUGGUUUUCUUAAACUAUCCUCGUCCUAUCUCUGUUAUUUACACUGGAUCAGGAAAUGCAAAUGAUUGAGAAAACAACAUAGGCACAUUUACCCAGCAUUUUGUGUGAUAGUUAUUUACAAUUAAAUUAAUAUUGAGUGCUUCCUCGACCUCAAUUUCUAUCCGGUGACUUCAGUGUCAAUACUGUAUUGAAAGGGAAACUAGCUGGAACACAUGGUCCUGAUGCUAUUUUCCCAAAGGCAAGGACUAGGUCUUUCUAUCUCCCAGGACACUCACUAAGUAGAGCACAGGGAAUUGGGGGAUGGGUGUGGAAUGUGACAGUUGCAGGAGAUGUCUCCAAGUGCACAUGUAGGGCAGAGUUCUUCUAAGCCAAGAAGCCUGGAAGCUCUUUUAACAUCACAGAUCUGACUUAUUUGAGGAAUGUCUAAGUUCUGGCUCUCACUGUUCCAUUAGAGAAUGUGGACUCAUUUCCUUUCUUGGCGCAUCUUCUACAUCCUGAUGGUAAUUAGAGGCGAUUAAUGUGGUGGGUGAGAGUGAAGGCCCCAGAGUCAGACUGCUUAAAGUUUAAAUCCCACCAUUGCCUCUGAGCUGUGUGGCCUCUGUGUCUUGGUUUCUCUACGUAUAAAACGCCACCAUCAUUCCUCACUCAGAUUGCUGCAAUAGUAGUAAUUAGCUUGUCUGCCUGCUCCUGUCUUUGCUUCUUUAGAGUAUGUUUCCUAUACAGCAGCCAGAAUCGUCUUUUAAAAACAUGUCAGACAGGUCACUCCUGUGCUCAAAAGCUUUCAAAGGGUAAAAGUCAAAGUCCUUACAGUGGACCCUAAGGGCCCUACAUGAUCUGCUACUGUUUGAUCACCUCACCUACUACUUUAUCCCUAACUUUAGUCCAGAAUCACCUGAAGGUCUUGUUAAAACACAGACUGCUGAGCCCUGCCUUUAGAGUUUCUGGUUCAGAAAGUCUGGGGUGGGCCUGAGAAUUUUCAUUUCUACUAAGUUCCCAGUGAUGCUGGGAUCCCCAGCGGGGCAGGGAACCAUCCUUUGAAAACCACCUGUGCAACCAGAUCAACUGCUUUGGGGUCCUUCAAACAUACCAGGCACGGAUGGUCCUGCCUUAGGGACUCUGCACUUCCUUCUGCCUAGGAGCCUCUUCAAAGUUGCAUCGGACAUGGGAUUUGCUCUAUACAGAAGGUUCUUUGUCCCUGCAAACGGGUCCCCG